rnacentral:rRNA from 1 species
GACGUAGGGCGCGAGCGUUGUCCGGAUUCACUGGGUUUAAAGGGCGCGUAGGUGGUCUGAUAAGGGUGUGGUGAAAGCCCGGGGCUCAACCCCGGGUCGGCCGUGCCGACUGUUAGACUAGAGUGCUGUAGGGGCAGGCGGAAUUCCGGGUGUAGCGGUGGAAUGCGUAGAGAUCCGGAGGAAGACCGGUGGCGAAGGCGGCCUGCUGGGCAGAUACUGACACUGAGGCGCGACAGCGUGGGGAGCAAACAGG